rnacentral:rRNA from 1 species
GAUGAACGCUGGCGGCGUGCCUAAUACAUGCAAGUCGAGCGAACGGACGAGAAGCUUGCUUUUCUGAUGUUAGCGGCGGACGGGUGAGUAACACGUGGAUAACCUACCUAUAAGACUGGGAUAACUUCGGGAAACCGGAGCUAAUACCGGAUAAUAUUUUGAACCGCAUGGUUCAAAAGUGAAAGACGGUCUUGCUGUCACUUAUAGAUGGAUCCGCGCUGCAUUAGCUAGUUGGUAAGGUAACGGCUUACCAAGGCAACGAUGCAUAGUCGACCUGAGAGGGUGAUCGGCCACACUGGAACUGAGACACGGUCCAGACUCCUACGGGAGGCAGCAGUAGGGAAUCUUCCGCAAUGGGCGAAAGCCUGACGGAGCAACGCCGCGUGAGUGAUGAAGGUCUUCGGAUCGUAAAACUCUGUUAUUAGGGAAGAACAUAUGUGUAAGUAACUGUGCACAUCUUGACGUUACCUAAUCAGAAAGCCACGGCUAACUACGUG